rnacentral:rRNA from 1 species
UACGGAGGGUGCAAGCGUUAUCCGGAAUCACUGGGAUUAAAGGGCGCGUAGGCGGCUUGAUAAGUCAGGGGUGAAAGCCCGCAGCUUAACUGCGGACCUGCCUUUGAUACUGUCGGGCUUGAAAGAGGUUGAGGUCAGCGGAACGUGACAUGUAGCGGUGAAAUGCAUAGAUAUGUCACAGAACACCGAUUGCGAAGGCAGCUGGCUGGACCUACUUUGACGCUGAGGAACGAAAGUGUGGGGAUCAAACAGG